rnacentral:rRNA from 1 species
GAUGAACGCUGGCGGCGUGCCUAAUACAUGCAAGUCGAGCGAACAGACGAGGAGCUUGCUCCUCUGACGUUAGCGGCGGACGGGUGAGUAACACGUGGAUAACCUACCUAUAAGACUGGGAUAACUUCGGGAAACCGGAGCUAAUACCGGAUAAUAUAUUGAACCGCAUGGUUCAAUAGUGAAAGACGGUUUUGCUGUCACUUAUAGAUGGAUCCGCGCCGCAUUAGCUAGUUGGUAAGGUAACGGCUUACCAAGGCAACGAUGCGUAGCCGACCUGAGAGGGUGAUCGGCCACACUGGAACUGAGACACGGUCCAGACUCCUACGGGAGGCAGCAGUAGGGAAUCUUCCGCAAUGGGCGAAAGCUUGACGGAGCAACGCCGCGUGAGUGAUGAAGGUCUUCGGAUCGUAAAACUCUGUUAUUAGGGAAGAACAAAUGUGUAAGUAAAUAUGCACGUCUUGACGGUACCUAAUCAGAAAGCAACGGCUAACUACGUG